rnacentral:lncRNA from 1 species
GAAAAGUGCCUACCCCUGGCCUGGGAUGCUUCCUCCUGGGAUGCUCCCACUUGGAACCCAACUAUUGUGCUGCAGAAGUUUAACUUAACUGUGUAAGGAGGCCAAGAGGAGGCCCUGGCUGCCAGCCAGCAUCAACUUCCAGUGACGUGAGUGUGCCAUUCUGGAACUGGAUCCUGCAGCCUCGGUGGAGCAGCCUCAGCUGAUGCCAUGUGGAACAGAGAUGAACUGCCGCUGCCGAGCUCUGCCCACGUUGCAGAAUCAUGAGCAAAUAUGUUGUGGAUUGGCUGUAACUCUGCUCUGGGAUCCAGGCUGAAGGAGCAGGCUCUAUCUGGAACAUUACUAGUCUCCAGGCAGAAGAAAAAGAGACAAUGGAAUGGAUGAUUGAAUGGAUGAAUGAACUCCACAGGAAGAUGAGGAAAGCCUUUAUGGAUGGAGUGAGCUUGCAGCAGAGUCUCAAAGGAAGAAAUAAAACAAACUUCUACAUGGCAAAAUAAACCUCUACAUGGCAAAAUAAACCUCUACAUGGCAAAAUAAACCUCUACAUGGAUAGAGAUCUGUCUCAGACACAUUUUGGUUUCCAUGACUUCUGAAUGGCAGCAUGAGGAGCUCCAUGAACCCUCUCCCCAGUGAAAUGACCAUAAUCUCUGGAAAUUGCUUAAGAUCAAAGCCACAACUAUUUAAAGCCUUUGGAAAUUGUUUUAUGGGGAUGCGGCAAAUUAAUAAACUUUUAUUCAAGAAAAUGUACUAAGUCUCAGUAAGAACAGUGAGAGUCAAUAACAUUUGUACCACAAAAGACUUCCUCCCUCCUUCUUCUAGCUCAGCAUGAUGGAAAAGUUACUCUAAGUAGGUGAAGCCGAGAACACGGGCUACCUCUUUCCCCAGCUCUCAGUUGAGGGCUACUAUAUC